rnacentral:rRNA from 1 species
UACGGGGGGGGCAAGCGUUGUUCGGAAUUACUGGGCGUAAAGGGUUCGUAGGUGGCUGGCUAAGUCAGACGUGAAAUCCCUCAGCUUAACUGGGGAACUGCGUCUGAGACUGGUCAGCUUGAGUGCAGGAGAGGAACGCGGAAUUCCAGGUGUAGCGGUGAAAUGCGUAGAUAUCUGGAGGAACACCGGUGGCGAAGGCGGCGUUCUGGACUGUAACUGACACUGAGGAACGAAAGCCAGGGGAGCAAACGGG